rnacentral:rRNA from 1 species
AGCAGUAGCCGCGGUAAUACGAAGGGGGCUAGCGUUGCUCGGAAUUACUGGGCGUAAAGGGAGCGUAGGCGGAUUGUUAAGUUGGGGGUGAAAGCCCGGGGCUCAACCUCGGAAUUGCCUUCAAUACUGGCGAUCUUGAGUAUGGAAGAGGUACGUGGAACUCCGAGUGUAGAGGUGAAAUUCGUAGAUAUUCGGAAGAACACCAGUGGCGAAGGCGACAUACUGGUCCAUUACUGACGCUGAGGCUCGAAAGCGUGGGGAGCAAACAGGAUUAGAGACCCCCGUAGUCCCUGUCUCUUAUAC